UACGUAGGGGGCAAGCGUUGUCCGGAAUUACUGGGCGUAAAGCGUGCGCAGGCGGUUUGCUAAGACAGGUGUGAAAUCCCCGGGCUUAACCUGGGAACUGCGCUUGUAACUGGCAAGCUAGAGUGUGGCAGAGGGGGGUGGAAUUCCAGGUGUAGCAGUGAAAUGCGUAGAGAUCUGGAGGAACACCGAUGGCGAAGGCAGCCCCCUGGGCUAACACUGACGCUCAUGCACGAAAGCGUGGGGAGCAAACAGG
rnacentral:rRNA from 1 species